rnacentral:misc_RNA from 1 species
AAGUCGUAACAAGGUUUCCGUAGGUGAACCUGCGGAAGGAUCAUUAACACGUAUCCAAACGUUAAAAACCCUGUGAACUUUCAUGCAGCUCCCGUAACCCGCAAGGAACAGCAAUCCCGGUAAAUCAUUGUUGAACAGUUUUGAUUCGGGACCUCUGUACAGUUACGGUCGUAGCUUAGAGUCAGUGGCAUGGCUUCCCCAAGCAGUAGUGAAAUGACAUUGUCACUAUCUGUGUAAGGAUAACGCCUCACGGUUGCUAGAGGUCGAUCACCGGCCGGCAAACAUGUCACAGGGCUAUAUGCCCCCUAACCACCCCUUGCACGAAUGUCUCGCCUAGUGGUCACGCGCUUGGCACCAAAACGAACAACUGUUAACAAUGGAUAUCUUGGUUCUC